rnacentral:sRNA from 1 species
GCCAAGUGUGGUGAUGCACACCUGUAAUCCCAGUGGCUCAGGAGGCUGAGGCAGGAGGAUCAAAAGUUUGAGACCAGCCUUGCAAUUUAGCAAGACCCUCAGCAACUCAGAGAGACCCUGUCUCAA